AAGGCCGAUGGCGACCGGCGCACGGUGUGAGUAACACGUAUCCAACCUGCCGUCUACUCUUGGACAGCCUUCUGAAAGGAAGAUUAAUACAAGAUGGCAUCAUGAGUCCGCAUGUUCACAUGAUUAAAGGUAUUCCGGUAGACGAUGGGGAUGCGUUCCAUUAGAUAGUAGGCGGGGUAACGGCCCACCUAGUCUUCGAUGGAUAGGGGUUCUGAGAGGAAGGUCCCCCACAUUGGAACUGAGACACGGUCCAAACUCCUACGGGAGGCAGCAGUGAGGAAUAUUGGUCAAUGGGCGCAGGCCUGAACCAGCCAAGUAGCGUGAAGGAUGACUGCCCUAUGGGUUGUAAACUUCUUUUAUAAAGGAAUAAAGUCGGGUAUGUAUACCCGUUUGCAUGUACUUUAUGAAUAAGGAUCGGCUAACUCCGUGCCAGCAGCCGCGGUAAUACGGAGGAUCCGAGCGUUAUCCGGAUUUAUUGGGUUUAAAGGGAGCGUAGAUGGAUGUUUAAGUCAGUUGUGAAAGUUUGCGGCUCAACCGUAAAAUUGCAGUUGAUACUGGAUAUCUUGAGU
rnacentral:rRNA from 1 species